rnacentral:sRNA from 12 species
UGACCGUACCCGGAAUUUAUAACGGGUAUCACAGGCCGGACGGACAGCCGGGUCAAAUGCCGA